rnacentral:rRNA from 1 species
UACGUAGGUGGCGAGCGUUGUCCGGAUUUACUGGGCGUAAAGGGAGCGUAGGCGGACUUUUAAGUGAGAUGUGAAAUACUCGGGCUCAACUUGAGUGCUGCAUUUCAAACUGGAAGUCUAGAGUGCAGGAGAGGAGAAUGGAAUUCCUAGUGUAGCGGUGAAAUGCGUAGAGAUUAGGAAGAACACAAGUGGCGAAGGCGAUUCUCUGGACUGUAACUGACGCUGAGGCUCGAAAGCGUGGGGAGCAAACAGG